GGCAAAAGCCUUGAAUUUAUUUCCUUGUGGAUCAGAAUUCAAGCUAGGCUGCAGCCCUGAGGAUGCCAGGACUACAAAGCAGAACGAGAAGAGGAAUCACUAGAACUUGAAUUCUGUUUCACAAAGGACUGUCUCGGCUAUGACAGAUUACAGCAAAUAAGAAGAUGCAAAUAUGUUUUCAAACACAAGAAGGCAUGGAGUAUCACAGAUGGAGUAAGCCAGGUGGAAUAGAGGAGGCUCACUAUCGGUGAGGGACACAAUUCUCAACCACAAGCAGCUAAGGGAAGGAAGAAUUUCUGAUGUCACAUCCUCACAUCAGCAGGAGAGAAGUAGAGAGAACCACAAGCCGAUUCUGGAUGGAACACCUCAAAUCUACCCCCAGGGACAAACUUCCUCAAGCAAGUUUCCACCCCAGAAGGUUCCUCAACCUUCAUGAACAGCACCACUUCCUGGAGAUAAAAUGAUCAAACACAUGAGCCUAUAGUGGCAUUUGAUAUCAAACCACCACAAAUGUUUAGCCUUCACUAGUUCAGAGUGUUAACACCUGCAUUAGAGAUCAGGUUAGAGAGAAGGGACUGGAUAUUGGGCAGUCUGUCCUCAUGGAAAGGCAGCAGUGUUUCGUAACCCACAUGAUGAAUGACGGAGAAAGAAGACAACUGGAAGGGAGAGAAGAGAAAGUAGAAUCAAUGGAAUGAUGCAAUCAUGGCAUCUUUCCACUUACAAGAGUAUAGGGGAUUUGCAACCACAUCCAUUAUGACACUGGCGAUGGAAAUUUUCCUCUUGUCUCCCCUUGAUUCUGGUAUAGAGUUUGCAUUGCUUAAGUAAUUUGAUUUGAAAUAAUCUUUCUUCCUGUGAGAAGUGCUCUCAGCCACCUCAUUAAUUUUGAUUUUAUGCUUAGUAAGGUUUCUGUUAUUUCUGUAAAUUUCAUAUCUGGUUAGUCUCCAGGAGUUCUUCACUUUUUAUCUUGUAUUAACCAGUAAAGAUCCUUGUCUUAAUGUUCA